GAGAGGAAGGUGGGGAUGACUUCAAAUCAUCACGGCCUUUACGUCUNGGNCCACACACGUGCUACAAUGGCCGGUACAGAGGGCAGCUACUUAGUGAUAGGAUGCAAAUCUCGAACGCCGGUCUCAGUUCGGAUUGGAUGUCUGCAACUCGACUCUAGGAAGCUGGAAUCGUUAGUAAUCGCGCAUCAGCCAUGGCGCGGUGAAUACGCUCCCGGCCUUUGUACACACCGCCCGUCAAGCCAUGGAAGCUGGGGGUACCUGAAGUCGGUGACCGUAAAAGGAGCUGCCUAGGGUAAAACUAGUAACUAGGGCUAAGUCGUAACAAGGUAACCGUA
rnacentral:rRNA from 1 species